CCCUUAGAUGUUCUGGGCCGCACGCGCGCUACACUGACGAAUGCAACGAGCUUAUAACCUUGGCCGAAAGGUCUGGGUAAUCUCCAAAUUUCGUCGUGAUGGGGAUAGAUUAUUGCAAUUAUUAAUCUUCAACGAGGAAUGCCUAGUAAGCGCAAGUCAUCAGCUUGCGUUGAUCACGUCCCUGCCCUUUGUACACACCGCCCGUCGCUCCUACCGAUUGAAUGGUCCGGUGAAGCGUUCGGACCGUGGCCUUUGGACGGUUCGCCGUCUGUUGGCUGCGGGAAGUUCGUUAAACCUUAUCAUUUAGAGGAAGGAGAAGUCGUAACA
rnacentral:rRNA from 1 species